rnacentral:misc_RNA from 1 species
GAUGAAGAACGUAGCGAAAUGCGAUGAGUAGUGUGAAUUGCAGAAUUCAGUGAAUCAUCGAAUCUUUGAACGCACAUUGCGCCCCUUGGUAUUCCGAGGGGCAUGCCUGUUCGAGCGUCAUUAUAACCCCUCAAGCUCAGCUUGGUGUUGGGGCCUGCUGCACUGGCAGCCCUUAAAAUCAGUGGCGGCGCCAUCUGGCUCUAAGCGUAGUAAUUCUUCUCGCUAUGGAGUCCUGGUGGAUGCUUGCCAUCAACCCCCAAUUUUUCUAUGGUUGACCUCGGAUCAGGUAGGGAUACCCGCUGAACUUAAGCAUAUCAAUAAGCGGAGGA